AUUGAACGCUGGCGGCAUGCUUUACACAUGCAAGUCGAACGGCAGCACGGGGGCAACCCUGGUGGCGAGUGGCGAACGGGUGAGUAAUACAUCGGAACGUGCCCAGUAAUGGGGGAUAGCCCGGCGAAAGCCGGAUUAAUACCGCAUACGCCCUGAGGGGGAAAGCGGGGGACCGAAAGGCCUCGCGUUAUUGGAGCGGCCGAUGGCUGAUUAGCUAGUUGGUAGGGUAAAGGCCUACCAAGGCGACGAUCAGUAGCUGGUCUGAGAGGACGACCAGCCACACUGGGACUGAGACACGGCCCAGACUCCUACGGGAGGCAGCAGUGGGGAAUUUUGGACAAUGGGCGAAAGCCUGAUCCAGCAAUGCCGCGUGUGCGAAGAAGGCCUUCGGGUUGUAAAGCACUUUUGUCAGGAACGAGAAGUUUGGCUCUAAUACAGUCGGACGAUGACGGUACCUGAAGAAUAAGCACCGGCUAACUACGUGCCAGCCGCCGCAGUAACAC
rnacentral:rRNA from 1 species